rnacentral:rRNA from 1 species
AUGAACGCUAGCUACAGGCUAACACAUGCAAGUCGAGGGCGAGCAUGAAGUUGCUGCAAACUUGAUGGCGACCGGCGCACGGGUGAGUAACGCGUACUCCAACCUGGCCCGCAGUAGGGAACAGCCCGGCGAAAGUCGGAUUAAUGCCCUAUGUCUUCCUUUGCAGGCAUCCAAUGAGGAAGAAAGAUUUAUCGCUGCGGGAUGGGGAUGCGUCUGAUUAGCUUGUCGGCGGGGUAACGGCCCACCGAGGCAACGAUCAGUAGGGGUUCUGAGAGGAAGGUCCCCCACACUGGUACUGAGACACGGACCAGACUCCUACGGGAGGCAGCAGUGAGGAAUAUUGGUCAAUGGGCGAGAGCCUGAACCAGCCAAGUAGCGUGCAGGGAACCGACUGCCCUAUGGGUUGUAAACUGCUUUUAUGCGGGGAUAAACUUCAGCACGUGUGCUGUUUUGCAGGUACCGCAUGAAUAAGGACCGGCUAAUUCCGUGCCAGCCGCGGC